GAUGAACGCUGACAGAAUGCUUAACACAUGCAAGUCUUUGGCGAAGCUGUGCUCGCACAGCCUAGCCAAGGCGGACGGGUGAGUAACGCGUAAGGAACUUGCCCUGCAGUCAGGGAUAACAGACGGAAACGACUGAUAAGACCUGGUAAAGUCAGGCGGACUCAUGUCCAGCCUGAUGAAAAGAGAUGCUGCAGGAGAGCCUUGCGUCCUAUUAGCUUGUUGGUGGGGUAACGGCCCACCAAGGCGAUGAUAGGUAGCCGGCCUGAGAGGGUGGACGGCCACAAGGGGACUGAGAUACGGCCCUUACUACUACGGGAGGCAGCAGUGGGGAAUAUUGGACAAUGGGGGCAACCCUGAUCCAGCAAUUCUGUGUGCACGAUGAAGGUUUUCGGAUUGUAAAGUGCUUUCAGAAGGGAAGAAAAAAAUGACGGUACCUGCAGAAGAAGCGACGGCUAAAUACGUG
rnacentral:rRNA from 1 species